GAUGAACGCUGGCGGCGUGCUUAAUACAUGCAAGUCGAGCGAACGGACGAGAAGCUUGCUUUUCUGAUGUUAGCGGCGGACGGGUGAGUAACACGUGGAUAACCUACCUAUAAGACUGGGAUAACUUCGGGAAACCGGAGCUAAUACCGGAUAAUAUUUUGAACCGCAUGGUGCAAAAGUGAAAGACGGUCUUGCUGUCACGUAUAGAUGGAUCCGCGCUGCAUUAGCUAGUUGGUAGGGUAACGGCCUACCAAGGCAACGAUGCAUAGCCGACCUGAGAGGGUGAUCGGCGACACUGGAAGUGAGACACGGUCCAGACUCCUACGGGAGGCAGCAGUAGGGAAUCUUCCGCAAUGGGCGAAAGCCUGACGGAGCAGCGCCGCGUGAGUGAUGAAGGUCUUCGGAUCGUAAAACUCUGUUAUUAGGGAAGAACAUAUGUGUAAGUAACUGUGCACAUCUUGACGGUACCUAAUAAGAAAGCCACGGCUAACUACGUG
rnacentral:rRNA from 1 species